GGCAAUGCCGCCACAUACAGCCAGCGCUGCGGCCUCCGCCAUCCGCACCGGCUUCUCAUGCCGCUGCCACCGUUCUGGGCGGUGCAGUUCUUUCUGGUUGUGUUUGGGGAUUGUUUGGCCGGUGCCGGAGUGGUGGUGCUGAUCCCGCUGCCACCGUUCUGGGCGGUGCAGUUCUUUCUGGUUGUGUUUGGGGAUUGUUUGGCCGGUGCCGGAGUGGUGGUGCUGAUCGCCUGAUCCGUGACAUGGGCGGGGCUUUACAUGAGGGAGCCAACACAGAUGGGGAGGGAACGAUGGCGGCGUGACGUGCACUGGAGGUGAGGGACACUGAUGUGUAGCAUCGCCAGCGGCAUGCACAUCGAGCUCCACCGGCCAGUGGGAUGUGCUUGUGCACGUCAAGCCUGCAGAGGAUGGUUUCACAGUGUGUUUCUAAUUCUUCCUUGAUUAAACAACGAGAUAUAAGUUGGAAGUAGGAGCAGAACAUGGACAAGGUGCUUCUAGAAUGAAUUUGUCUGUGGGGUCAGAAAGAUGUGUAGCCAGCUGUAACAAGAUGAUCACCAAGUCUGGGAGGUGGCAAGAGAAUGUGCUCCUGGCGGGGGUAUCGUCGGUUGGUACCAUGGUUUUUAAGGCGGUAAGGCGUCCUAAAGCGGUGGGAGCGCUCUACCACCUAAGCGGCUGCUUAAGUGCCAAAAGCAGACCUAAAGCGGGCAAAGUGCUAAGGCGCUUUGGGGCGCUCUAUCUCCUAAGCGCCGCUUAAGCGUCCUAAGGCGGACACCUUAAAAACCAUGGUUGGUACAGUUCAGCCUUAGCUAACUCUGGAGGUAAGGUUGGGGCAAAAAGGAAUUUGCGGGUGACGGAUGCUAGGUACAAUUUGGUUUGAGACAUGUGUUAUUUUACACGAAUCAAUGUUUAAUUAAGGCCAUGUAUUGCUCUUGGGAGUAAAAUAUUGUUAUUUCUUCCUUUUACUCAGCAGUAUUAUAUUCUCUCCAUAUGCAUUACCCUUGAUUGUUACUCUUGUGACUGAAUUUCUGGGUGUACAAUUUCGGUGCUACAUUGGAAUUUAGACUAACAUCUUUUCUUUUGUUUUGGUGCAUCGUUUGGGUGGACUUAGCUAAAAAUUGGGCCAAGCGGUGGUGGGCCUGCAUGUUGUUGGUCAAAGCGGUGCCGUGACACAGGCCAACAAUGGAGAGUGGAGACAACCCAUCCCUACUUAGUACUCACGAUACAACAAAGAAAGGAACUGAUUUCUCUUUCCCCAAUCAGUGUCCUGCAGUUCUUGCCCUUGAGGCUGCCGCCUUCCUCUUCCUCCUGGUCGCCGGCGGUCGCUACCGGUCAUUAUCUUGCCCAUGAGCGCACUAUGCGGCCGGAUCUUGUGAUCUGCCGGUGCGGCCGGAUCUGGUGGCGAGUCUGCGGCAGCGGUUAUUUCUCGACUCCAUGGCGAGCGGCAGCCGCGCCAUCCGAGAGCCAGCACAUCCCCAGCCAUGGUGCACAUGCGGGCGCACACAACGACCUCAACCUCCACUCCGUUGCCAACGCUUCGUCAACUCCAUGGCGAGGGGCAGCUGCGCCAUCUGGGCUCCAGCAUGAUCUUGGUCGUGAUGGUGCACGCGCGGAAGAACACAACGACCUUGACAUCUGUCGGCGUUUCUUCGACUCCGCGGGUGAGGGAAACGAUGCCAGCCAUGAUGUCUAUCGAAUCUCACCAUCGGUAGUGAGCUGAACACCGCUGCACAGCAGGUUUCAUCGCCUCCAAUAUUCUUGCAGAAGCUAGGUUGGGACUAGCUAGGUUGGGACUGAUGGUGUGCUUGGUGAUAAAAGCAAUACUCUGGCCGUUGUGUCCGGCAGCAGAGUCGGUGUCAAAGAACAAUAGCGGCAGUGGUGACAGAGGCCACAAGCUCACCGCUUGGCCUGUGAUUUACCUCUGCGGAUUCUUGCCUUGAGGUCUGAACCGCUUCUCCGAUUUAUCAUGUCCGAUUAAUGCCAGCCAUAUGGGAGGUUCACCCCAGGAGAUCCCCAAACGGCCAUGUGACGGCAGUCGGCAGCUCAGACUAAGGUGAGCACCAAGUGUGCAACAUGUCCCUGUUGUCUAUACUCCAGCUAUUUUCUAGAUUAGUUGGCUUUAGAUGAUUCUUGUGCAACCUAAGGACUUAUAAUGCUUCCACUAAGAUGGAAAAAAUGUAGCUGCAAGUACUUUGAGUCCUCAAGUAUUUUAUGUCAUCGUAUUUUUGGAGUAUUCUUAAUAGUUGAUCCGCGUCUACUUCCACCUGGUACCAUUUUGAAGCGUUGGACGCCGAAGGUCAGAGAUGAUGUCUUAAAUGGUGAUAACCAAAAUGAGGAUGUUUGUGAGUCCAUUGCAAGCCUACUACCACUUUUUUUGCUUCACUAGGUUUCAGAUCUGUAAUUUAGCAAUUUUUGUCCAUAAGUGUUCUUCAUAUUACUAAUGAAUGGCGAACAAGAUUCCUGUUUUUUGCUAUGUGCUUGCCUUCUUGCCAUGGGUAUUUCUUUCUAUUUUGUGAAUUGUGGAUGACGUAAUUCGCUUCCUAUGAACAAAUAUUUCAUAUGUACAUAUAAUUGUAUGCAGAUGGAGAACUCAAGUAAUCUUACUGUCUGAAUGUAACUUUUUUUCCUUUUAGGAUAGAUAGUUACCUUUUUAUGCCCAACUCCUGAUUGAAUUGUGUUUGCUGAUGCAAGAUGGCCACCUCUCGCCACGUGCAUCACGUACGCGCAGUGGCAGUAGCCAGUAUUUGUUCAGGACUGACACCUCCUGAAGCCAUGGAUUCAACAUGAAAUGGUUGCUCAAUGUAUAAAUUUCAUUCAGCGGCAAUAUACUUCUCUGUGAGGUCAUGCUCUAAGGCCUCGACAUAAUUGUGAGGAAUGGUUAGUGCUGGCCUUAAGAAAAUUAAAUAGAUGUUCUUCUGAACUCAUUUCUCUCCAGGUAUGUUAUGAACCCCUUUGUAUUCUAUUUGUUAUUCUCUCACUUUCUUCACUCAGCGACCUGCCAUAUAAGAUACAUAAUUUCGUUACAAACUGUUGAUGCUGCUUUUAAGAAAAACAGAAAUUUAUUUUGUUCACAUUAAUUGAUACGCUCAUUCAGGGAGAUGUGUUUCAUGCCACUAUAAUAUACCAUUUUAAACUAUGCAUGUGUACUCUCCGCAAUAAAUUAUGAGUCUGUAGUUAUGACUAAUACAUACACUAUUUAAAAGUUGAACAGAUCAGCGCGCUCACAGCGUUUUAGCUACUGUAGAUAUGGUAUUUAUCCACUCUUCCAUCCAGCCAUUGCCUGACACGUAGCUCUCCCGUUUUUUUCCUCCAUCGUUUGCUCAAUUAGUUGCUUUUGGUCUUUCUUUUUUUGCCAGAAGGGAAACAGGCAACCGGCUGUUGGCCUCUCUCCCUCCUUUCUACUGUGAAUCGUUUCUGGUUAUAUUUAUUACCUUCUGGUUGGGUUGGUCAAGGCGGUGGAUGUCAAAGCGGUGCCCUGGAUCCCCUUCUCUCCUCCUCCCUAUUGCCAUCGUCGCCCACAUUCUUCCCUAGGACCGGCGCCCUCUUCUCCCUCUCCAGCCGCUGUGUCAUCUACCUAGGUGGCUGAUGGUGUGGAGGACGUUUUUGGGCCUUUCCGCUCCUCCCCGACGCGGAUGGCGAUGCGGCCCCAAAUCAACGCGAAGGGAUGGCCGCGAGGGUCCUGCGCUUGGUUGCUAGAGGGCUUCGACAGCCUGGUAGUUGGCCGCCAUAGCCAUGGCUUGAUGCGUCGCGAUGCCGUACUGCUCUGCAGCAAGGUCUUGAUGAGCGGUGACGCCCGGUGGGGGACUUCAAAUGCAAGAUUCGAGGCUGCACAGGCACUGCCUGAGUCGCUAAGGGAUGUUGUUUUGCUUCCUCUUCAUCGUUUAACUCAUGGGACAUAUUUCCUUCCCUUCUAACAAUUCUCUUUUUCCUUUCAUUCCUUUUCCUCCAUCUUAUUGAUUCCUUCUUUGUUUGUAUCUUUUUGGUCGCCCAGGUGUUGGCCUAGGUUGUUGUGGUCUCAGCAUCCAUUAUAAAGAUCAAUUUACAUUUGGUUUCUCCAUUCUUGAAAGUUGGAACUACGAUUUCUACCACCGUUCAUGUCAACCGAUACUAAAAAUAGUAUUUGCAGGGUAUAUGGAUCCAGCGACCUGGCAAAAUUUGUUUGAGUUCGACUUCAUUAUUAGUACAGGGAGGUGCCUUCUAAAUAUUCAGACAAUUCAUUUAGCUAUUGUCACUUAUAAAUACAGUGCAUACAACUAGCUUGAGAAUUCAUCUUAUCAUCUAUGAAUGCUCACUCCAAUAUCAAAGAACAGUUAGUAAACAUAUGUUUUUUUAACGACAUACGCACCUGCAUAUUGGCUUAUUGCACUUAUAUUUCAACUGACUGAUUUUCUGCAAUGUAACCAACCAAUGCUAGAGUUCCAUCUGUUUUAUAGUUACUUGCUAACAAUGUUUCAGGGCAACAAAAUGGAAGGCUGUGACAUCUAAUCAAAUAUACAUGUGCAGAGAACAACUAAAGGAAGGUUUGAUCUACAUAUUUGAGUCUUUUUAUUGUAGCAGCAGCGCUAAACAAAUACAAGAUAACGCUUAUAUGAUCAAGAUUUCUCAAUCCACAAAGGUCAUCGAAGCCAUUCCAGAGACUGAAAAAUUUCCUAUGUUCAUUUGAUGUUCUGCAGUCACGCGCAGGGAACAACACCGUUCUAUCAGAUGAUUGUUAAUGGAUAUCAUUUCAUAGAAGACGCAUUAAGAGCCAAGGAUGCAUAUUCGCUUAAAAGAUGCUAGGUAUGGCUUUUCGUAUAGGUAGUAAUACUUCAGCAGGCUGUUAUGAAACUGCAUGCGUACUGAUAGUAAACAACCUUUGUUAAGCGGUAAACGCAAGCAUGUUCCCUCUAGGUAUUGCAAGGUAUUACUGAUGUUCUACAUAGAGGGCUACAGAGUAUGAUUUGGAUUGUUGUUGCAAAUCGCUAUCUCAAAACAUACUUUGUUAUUUCUAACUUUUACUUGCCUUCCAAUUUUGCAUCUCCUAUAAUAUAUGUUGUCCUUAUAUCAGGACCUUAAAAGCAAGAAAAAAGAUUAGGUUAUGUCGGCAUAUGAUUCUCGGUUCGAUUUUUCAGUUUAUGAAUUCCUGUAAUUUUGAUGAUUCUUUGUUACUCAACUUUCAAAGAGCAUAGUGAUUGCAAAUAUUUUCAUACUAGGUGUUCCAAAGGUGUUGUUGGUGUUUUACAUCCAUUGCUGCACAGCUACAGGGCAUGCCUCCACUGAUCUUUCAUGGUAAUUCAUAGAACAAAGUGUCACGAAGGAAGUGGCCGCGCUGGGUCCAAUGGAGUGGUAGUUCAUGCUGGUGGCGGUCCUCCUACUGGUGAUCAUUUUCCUAAAUUGAUUGGUAUGCAAGCUACCAAUUUUACUUCUCCUUCAAAGAACUCUGCUAUCCGGAGAGAUCAUUCAACCGCAGACAUAGUAGGCUUUAUUUAGCUAAAAGAACUAUGUAUCAAGCUCUCUGUUCUCUCUAUACCUUUUGAGUUUGUGUGCUCAAAACUGCCACUUUAUAAUGUUCUGCUGUAUCUGUGUGUUGCUGUAUAUAGUUGCCGUCAAUGAAUAUAUCAGAGACUUUCUCUUUUAUUUCAUCUUCUUCAUAUUACUUUCUAUCGCCUCAGAA